AUUUUUCCUCAAGAUAGUCUAUAUUAUUAGCUGUCAAGCAAUUGACUGUGACACCAGAGACCUUAUGAAAUAGGUAUGUUGGACCCGGGGGCAGUACCCGGCGCCUCCACCAUUCACGGGGGUGAAAAAGGUUUGACAGCGUAUAAUAAAGAUAAGUGUUGUGUUCGGUGAGAUACCACCGUUAUCGGUUCAAAAUAAAUGAAUGCAAAUGAUAAUUUUGCACCAGUUGCUGUAGCUGCUUAGUUAAAGCAACAAAUUUAAAUUCUUUACGCUUUGGUUAGCAUAAAGUGGGGAAUGAGCCACCUAGCAACAGAACGGCUC
rnacentral:tmRNA from 1 species